ACCAGUGUGGUAUAGUGGUUGUGUGUUGGACUAUGACUUUGAAGAUCAGGGUUCAAAUCCUUGCUUAUUUGUG